GCGGGGAUGCCGGAGCGGUCAAACGGGAUAGGCUUAGGACCUAUUGGCUUAGUGCCUUCGCAGGUUCAAAUCCUGUUCCCCGCA
rnacentral:tRNA from 1 species